UACGAAGGGGGCUAGCGUUGCUCGGAAUCACUGGGCGUAAAGCGCACGUAGGCGGAUUGCUAAGUCAGGGGUGAAACUCCUGGAGCUCAACUCCAGAACUGCCCUUGAUACUGGCGGUCUCGAGUCCGGGAGAGGUGAGUGGAACUGCGAGUGUAGAGGUGAAAUUCGUAGAUAUUCGCAAGAACACCAGUGGCGAAGGCGGCUCACUGGCCCGGUACUGACGCUGAGGUGCGAAAGCGUGGGGAGCAAACAGG
rnacentral:rRNA from 1 species